rnacentral:rRNA from 1 species
GACGAACGCUGGCGGCGUGCUUAACACAUGCAAGUCGAACGGAAAGGCCCUGCUUUUGUGGGGUGCUCGAGUGGCGAACGGGUGAGUAACACGUGAGUAACCUGCCCUUGACUUUGGGAUAACUUCAGGAAACUGGGGCUAAUACCGGAUAGGAGCUCCUGCUGCAUGGUGGGGGUUGGAAAGUUUCGGCGGUUGGGGAUGGACUCGCGGCUUAUCAGCUUGUUGGUGGGGUAGUGGAUUACCAAGGCUUUGACGGGUAGCCGGCCUGAGAGGGUAACCGGCCAACUUGGGAAUGAGAUACGGCCCGGACUCCUACGGGAGGCAGCAGUAGGGAAUAUUGCAUGAUGGGGGGAAGCCUGAUGCAGCAACGCCGCGUGCGGGAUGACGGCCUUCGGUUUGUAAACCGCUUUCGCCUGUGACGAAGCGUGAGUGACGGUAAUGGGUAAAGAAGCACCGGCUAACUACGUG